rnacentral:rRNA from 1 species
GUAGGUGGCAAGCGUUGUCCGGAAUUAUUGGGCGUAAAGCGCGCGCAGGCGGUUCUUUAAGUCUGAUGUGAAAGCCCACGGCUCAACCGUGGAGGGUCAUUGGAAACUGGAGAACUUGAGUACAGAAGAGGAAAGCGGAAUUCCACGUGUAGCGGUGAAAUGCGUAGAGAUGUGGAGGAACACCAGUGGCGAAGGCGGCUUUCUGGUCUGUAACUGACGCUGAGGCGCGAGAGCGUGGGGAGCAAACAGGAUUAGAUACCCUGGUAGUCCACGCCGUAAACGAUGAGUGCUAAGUGUUAGGGGGUUUCCGCCCCCCUUAGUGCUGCAGCUAACGCAUUAAGCACUCCCGCCUGGGAGUACGGCCGCAAGGCUG